AGUAAAGUGCCUGAAUUUAUAAAAGGAUUAUUUUGAUAGAAUAAAUCAUGUACCUUGUACCUUUACUA
rnacentral:tRNA from 1 species